CUUAAUUUUGAUAUCAUUGUCAAUGACAGCUCCGUGCCCCUUUUGUGAUGUAACAGUUCCUUGGGCAGAACUGGAAAGCAGGCAUGCUAACAGUCACUUUGAAUUGGAAGAUGAGCAGCGAAAGCAAAAAAGACUCGCUACGGACAGGGACUUGGCCCAGCAGAUUGCUCUUGCCCCUUUUUCACCUCAUUCUCACUCUAAUAAUCUAGUGAUGGAUGACAUGUCAUGUGAGUCGAGCUGUGAUGAUGCUGUUAGGGGUUGUGGAGAAUCACAUAUUGAUGAAAAGAUUGCUUGCUUGAUUGGUUUGCAGAUUAGGAGCCCUUUUUACCAAGUUGAAACUGGUUUGAUGGCUUUGUUGAAAAACUGUUUGGAAUUAGAAGCAGGAAAUUCGACAAGUAUUUUGUCAGGUUAUGUCGAUCAUUUUCAUAGCAUUGAAUCUGAGGAUGUUGGGUGGGGUUGUGGGUGGCGUAACAUUCAAAUGCUUAGCUCUCACUUGCUUAUGCGAAGACAAGAAGCAAGAGAGGUUUUGUUUGGUGGUUCAGGAUUUGUUCCCGAUAUAGCAUCGCUUCAGAGAUGGCUUGAGAUUGCUUGGGAAAGGGGUUUUGAUGCACUUGGCUCUGAACAUUUCAAUCGUAAAAUUUAUGGUUCAAGAAAUUGGAUUGGAGCUACUGAAUGUGCUGCUCUAUUCCGUUCUUUUGGGCUUCGCGCAAGAAUAGUCGAUUUUGGUCCAAAAGAACUUGAAUCGCUUUGUCUUUCUGUUCCUGGUUCAAGUCUUGGGGCACAGGUAUCAAAAAUAAAUGACAGAGGCAAGAGGAAAGUAGUUCAGGUUUACGGACCGAUGGAUAAAUACAUUCUUGGGAGGCAUUAUGAUGCUCCCCUAGCAGGUUCCAGAGGGGAUGAAAAUUCUAGAUAUUCUAGUAUGCAGCUUGGUAGUAAUUUAGGGGGUGGAAGUGGUGAUAAUGUUCUGAAUAAAUGUGCCAGAAAAAACAAGGGUUCGGAAGUUCUUGUUCAUUGGGUGUGGAAUUACUUUUCUGAUGAGAGCUUAAGCAAAUCUUGUCACCAUCGUGUUGCUGUCAGCGAGAAACCACCCUUGUAUUUCCAACAUGAUGGACAUUCAAGAACAGUCGUUGGAGUUCAAGUUAAACAUCAACAGAAUGGGACGCAGCAAUUCAGUCUCUUAAUUUUGGACCCUGCUCAUAGAACAGCAGCUCUAAAAACAUCUCUUAAAGAGAAUGAUGGGUGGCAAAAGCUUAUAAAAAGAGGGGUUCACACACUGAAGAAGCCACAAUACCAGUUGUGUUACAUUGAUCCUGGAAUUGCCAGUGAGGGGGAGAUGGAGCUGCUUAAGAGAAUAGAUAGUAUCUUUCUUGAAUUCUAAAGGAAUGUGUUCCACUUUUGUGCUUCUUUUAGGUACUAUUUAUCCAUUUCAUCAUGUUAUUAACCUCAUUGCAUGCCUUUUCUAUUUUAAUGAUGAAAAAUAUAACAAAGUUAUUACUUGAACACCAAAAGAAAAUUAUAGUUGAACGGCUUAUUGUAAAUUUGUUCAGCAUGUCACUGUAGCAAACUUUUGUGAUAGGAGGCAUUCAUUAAUUUUUCGGAAGAAUGCUCAUACACCCCCGAACUUUGGACUAGUGGCCAAGACACCGUCUAAACUUUUUUAUUGGCCAAUUUACUUCCUAAACUAUAUACACCUGCCAAAUCAAUACUCCAAUUAAUUUCAUGUUAAAACACUAAUGGAAUAAGAGCACAUGAGAAGCAUGUGAACUUUAAAAACUAAAUAUCACACAUAGAAAGAAGAGAGAGGAGAGACCUAGGUCUAACUAGCGAAGAGGAGAGAGAGAGAGGCUGUAGAACUAGAGCCACUGUGGAGCGGCGUUGAGUUCUUCAUCCGGCUGUCGUCUUGCCACCUGUAUCUUCAGGCUCUGUUUUUUUUUUUUUUCCUCGUUCUUUCUAAUGCAAGUAUUGUUCCUCUUAUUUUUCCUUUCUAAUGCAAGAACUCUUUGCUAUGUGCGACUUUCUGUCGGGGUUGGGGUUUAUUUGCUCCAAGAUCCAAAUAAUCACAUAUCUUUUCAUGCAAUGAAUAGGAUGUCUUGUACAAGUAUUGUAUUAGGUCGAGAAGAUCAAGUAUUGCAAGCUCCAACCACAAAAAUUGAUGGUGCAAGAAAUCCCUCAACUCAUAGAAGUGUUGCAUGUGGAGGGAACGGGUGGUCCACAACGUCAAGCAAUUUUUCUAGUUUAGAAUCAUGUUUUUUAAACUUUGGUUAAGUGCUCUAAUGGUUGUUUAUAUGCUAAUUGGUUUGGUAAUGAGGUACUAGUGAUUUGUGUGAGAUGUUAUCAUGAGCAGAUUAUGAUCCUCAUUUUGUUUUUAAUAGAAAAAAUUCUGCACUUAUGUGCAGUUUAUACAAAUUAUAAUCCUCGUUGUCAGUAAUGAAA